CACGGGGUUGCGAGCGUUGUCCGGAAUUACUAGGCGUCAAGGGCAGGCAGGCGGAUCCAUAAGUUUAUCGUUUAAGGCGUCGGCUUAACCGGCGUAGGGCGGUAGAUACUGUGGAUCUGGAAUGCGGUUGGGGAAGACAGAAUUCCUGGUGUAGCGGUGGAAUGCGCAGAGAUCAGGAGGAAUACCGAAGGCGAAGGCAGUCUUCCAAGCCGUUAUUGACGCUCAACUGCGAAGGUGUGGGUAUCAAACAGGAUUAGAUACCCGCGUAGUCCCU
rnacentral:rRNA from 1 species